ACAGAGGGGGCAAGCGUUAUUCGGAAUUAUUGGGCGUAAAGGGCGCGUAGGCGGCAUGGCAAGUGGAUGGUGAAAUCCCUCGGCUUAACCGAGGAACUGCCAUCCAGACUGCUUUGCUUGAGGCCGGGAGAGGUGAGUGGAAUUCCCAGUGUAGCGGUGAAAUGCGUAGAUAUUGGGAGGAACACCAGUGGCGAAGGCGGCUCACUGGACCGGUUCUGACGCUGAGGCGCGAAAGCGUGGGGAGCAAACGGGAUUAGAUACCCCGGUAGUCCACGCCGUAAACGAUGAGUGCUUGGUGUAGCGGGUAUCGACCCCUGCUGUGCCGAAGUCAACACAUUAAGCACUCCGCCUGGGGAGUACGGUCGCAAGGCUG
rnacentral:rRNA from 1 species